rfam:Schistosoma mansoni strain Puerto Rico chromosome 1, complete genome
GUCCAGCUGACGGGUCCCAAAUAGGACGAAACGCGUGUCAUGGAU